CCCUGUGUGGUGCAAAGAGUUAAUGCACUUGGCUGCCAUCCAAAAGGUUGGAAGUUCAAGUCUACCCAAAGGAG
rnacentral:tRNA from 1 species